rnacentral:lncRNA from 1 species
UUACUUUGCUGGGCAAGAGACCACUUCUGUGCUGCUUGUUUGGACAUUGGUUUUACUCAGCCAAAAUCAGGAUUGGCAAGCUCGUGCAAGAGAAGAGGUCUUGCAAGUUUUUGGAACCAACAUCCCAACCUAUGAUCAGCUCAGUCACCUAAAAGUUGUAAGUACACAACUUUUAAUUUUAAAGUUUUCUAUCGAUUACGUAAAACAACAAAAAUUAAUCAGACAUUUGACAUGUUAGCACUUUCAGGCCUAAUUGGGAUGUGUGGAUUUGCUUCUAAACUUUUGAAUGUCAUCAAACAACUCAUUUUGUUGGAUUAGUGAUCACUUGAUGCUUUAUGAUGCCCCAGGUGACCAUGAUUUUACUUGAAGUUCUUCGAUUAUACCCAGCAGUUGUUGAGCUCCCACGAACUACUUACAAGAAAACACAGCUUGGAAAGUUCUCAUUGCCGGCCGGAGUCGAAGUCUCCUUACACAUAAUGCUUGCUCACCAUGAUAAAGAAUUGUGGGGUGAGGAUGCAAAGGAGUUUAAACCAGAGAGGUUUUCAGAAGGAGUUUCAAAGGCAACAAAGAACCAGUUUACAUACUUCCCUUUCGGAGCUGGUCCACGGAUUUGCAUUGGACAGAACUUUGCUAUGCUGGAAGCUAAAUUGGCCUUGUCAUUGAUUCUACAACACUUUACCUUUGAGCUCUCUCCAUCGUAUGCUCAUGCUCCGUCCGUAACUAUAACCCUUCAUCCACAAUUUGGUGCUCAUUUCAUUUUACACAAACGUUGAUUAGUGCUGAAGUAUAUCGAUUGUGGGCAAAAAGUUUAAUGAUAAAGACACACCAAAUAAAGAUAGCCAUAGUUUGAGCCACAUGAAUAUUUUCUUAUAAUUGUCGUUACUUACUUGUAGCGAAUACAUGAGAUGAGUUUAUAAGAAAAAAAGAAUUUGACUGAUGGAAGGUUAUCUGUCAGCCUCACUUUGCCACUAUAUUCGAUCUACUAAUGGCUUGCACAUUAUUAAUAUUUAAAUAGUGAACCUGCAAACGAGGACUCGCUAAUGUAAUGGUUUGCAGCAAUUGUUAUUUCUCCAUAAAAAGUUAUGGAUUCGAGUCUUAGCAUUCGUGUAGUGUGUAUGAGUUUAGUAAUACUAUCACUCCACCUUGUGAAACUGUUGAAUCAUACAUAUAACAUAAAAAAGAAUCCCUUCAAUCUCCACGUCCUUGCUAGCUUCUUGAUUUAACAUAUUAAUCAAACUAAGUGAAUCUGAUGUUGGCGAGUCCUUACUUAGUUAGGAUUUUGGUUACUUACCUAUUUAUCUAGUCCUAUUAUAAUUGAGAUUUAUUUUAUAUUGUAAUUUGGAUUUAUUUCCUAUUUUAUUUAGGGUUAACACAUCUUGGACUUGUAUAAAUACCUCAAUAUUGGAAAAGAAUAAUAAUCUGAGUGAAUAUGAGCAUAUCUAAAUAUUUGCCAUACUUUGUUUGACAUGGUAUCAGAGUCAGGUUCAUAACCUGUGAUAACCUUUGCCAAAUUGAGAGUCGUUGACACUCCUUAUUCCUAACUCAUCAUGGGUCUUCAUCUUGUAUAGUCAUCUUCUUUUGUUCAUCCUCUUAUAUGUGUUUUCACCGCACCUAGCCUUCACAUGCUUCUUUGCUACUGUUCCAAAUUUUUUAUUUUUCAUCUUUGUAUGCCAGAUGGUCUUUCUUGAUGUCUCAGCUUCUCUAUCUUUGAAACUUCAUAACAAGUCUCUUUACUCCAUAAGCCUCAUCACCUCUCACCGAGCCGUUGCUGUCCUCCACGAGCCUCGUCACCGCUCGCCGAGCCUUUCCUUUGACUGUUAUGCGGGUCUCUGUCUUCUUCGGCUGCUCUCUUGAGUUGCCUUUCCGCUUCUCAAUUUGAGCACUUUAUCUUUGUCUUUGUCUUUGUUCAUGAUUUGCUGGGUUUCCUCUCUUACUAUUCUCAUUUUCUGUAGUUUUUUCUUCAUGGGACAGUCGUAUGCUAUCACCUUCCCCUCUUACAUUUGUUUCUGCCAUGAGACUGGCAUGUUUGAGUCUCUUUACUAUUAUUUCAAUAUCUGUUCUUUCAAAUCUCGACCCUUUACCAGUGUCGGAUUUGAUGGUGAGAUAGAUGCAACUUUAUUUGAGUGUUGCAACUUUAUUUUUUGGUAUUGCUUUCUCCAAAUCUCGACUCUCAUACAUUGUCGAAUUUGAGGGGGAGUGACACUGCUGCUCAUCUAUUCCGCUGCAAUUUGACACCACUACUCAUUUAUUCCGCUGCAAUUCACCUACCUAUUUGCCAUGGCUGAUUCUUUUACAUCUGAGCGUUAGUUAGCUUCUGUUUCUUAAGUGCCACCUUUUUUUAUAGUUCCGACGACCCCUUCUCUUCAGGGGGACAGGGGGAGUGAAGAGAAGUUGUCUCUGCAAUAAUGGAAGUAUUUGUCAUUGUUAUUGUUGCUGACUACUAUGUUCUUUACUGGCGCCAGUACAGUUGCUCAUACCUGUUAAGUUUCUUACUGGGGACAAUGUUAUUGCUCCUGCCUAUUAUGACUCUUGUUGGGGACAGUGUUGAUUACUGUUGAUGAUACUUGUUAUGUCCAUGCCUUGUUGCUCUUACUGGUGCCAGUGCCUUGUAUUGCUGUUGUUAGUACCAGUAUUGUUACUCCUGCCUGUUAUGGUGCAAAUAUUGUUGCUCAUGUGUUUGCUGGUGUGUUUCCGUUGUGGUCACGCCCGUUGACCUUACCUUUGCUCUUGACUUUCUUUGCCUUACCUAUUGCCAUGCUCACAGGAUUUUUGUGUUAUGCCUUAUCUGCUGCCGUGCUCACAGGGUUUCUGUGUUAUGCUUUACCUAUUGUCGUGCUCACAGGGUUUCUGUGUUUUGCCUUACCUAUUGCUGUGCUCAUAGGGUUUCUGUGUUUUGCCUUAUCUACGGCCAUGCUCACAGGAUUUCUGUGUUCUGCUAUGUGCCAUAUUUUUUAGGGUUUGCUCUUGUGUUUCCGCUGCGAACUUUGCUUUAGUUUGUCACUUGUUUCACUCGUGGUUGACUAAAAGAUUUUUUCUACAAUUGGUGCUUCUCAAAUAUGUUGUUCUGUGACUCGCUUGUCAAGUUGGGCCUGCGAAAUAUCUUUUCUCAACUUGAGGAGGACUAGUGUUGGCGAAUCCUUACUUAGUUAGAAUUUGAGUUCCUUACCAUGUUAGGAUUUUGGUUACUUACCUAUUUAUCUAGUCCUAUUAUAAUUGAGAUUUAUUUUAUAUUGUAAUUUGGAUUUAUUUUCUAUUUUAUUUAGGGUUAACACAUCUUUGUAUUUGUAUAAAUACCUCCAUAUUAAAGAAAGAUAAUAAUAUAAAUGAACCUGAGUAUAUCUAAAUAUUUACUCUACUUGAUUUGACAUCUGAUUCCACCACUACCGUAUCAUACCCAAAUUCCAAGCAACGGAUUAGAGCUUCCCGCACCGCCUCAGCCUCCACCAUUAAAGCUGACACGCAGAGCAAAUCCCCGUGCCACCUGCACAAUGGAAAUAGCCAAUGCCAUCCCGAAGUACCCACCCCACCCCUUGGCCUAUUUUCAUCGUCAGCUUGCACAACCACUCCAUUGAAGACUACCUCAUUUCGAUAUUUCCAAAUCCACUAGAGGACAAAAGCCACUAUUUGCAAAACAUCACAUCUCCAAUCUUGAGUUUCAUUCAAGGCCAGCAAUCCCAUCCAGCAUGCCAUAAAAUCUCCACCUCUGAGUUGUCGUAUGUCAAGUUGCAGGGGACUUGCAAACCUUGGAUUCAAUAUACAAAAAAAAAUUAUUGUGUGAUACUGGAAUAUGACUAUACGUGAUAUGUUAGCACACUAUAGUUAAUAAUUACUCCCAACACACACAUUAUAAUGUGGAUGAAAUUGAUAAGCUCAAGUUGAUAUGUUACUGUCACACUCAAUAUUACUUUAAAUAUUAUAAAACUAAAGAAAUUAUGAAGAGAAUAUAGAGAAUACAAAUAGCAAUAGAAAUGCUCUUCUGAUAUUUUCAUUGAGUCUUGCUCUCUCAAUUACAAAUGAGAAUGAAGCCAUGUUUUAUAGGCAAAACCUUGCCUAACAAUUAGGUAAAAAGAAAGCUCCUGAAAGGUGUACAUAAAUUUCCGCCCAACAUAUGAGCUCCACUUAUUAACUUCACAACAUCAAGAACCAUACAAUUGUAAUUUGUAUUUUUCAGGUGGUGCCAAUUUACUCAUGUUAUAAUUUCUUCAUUUAACCUUGUUACAAUUAACACGUGUACGGUUUUAAUUUCAAUCAUACACUCUCCAACACUCGGUCAUUAUUUUAUGUCUUUGUUUCUGACUCUAUUAAUGUUUCAAUUUUCUACAAAGAAGAAGGGACCGCGGCUUUCUAAAGAGGUCACACUCCAAAUUCGUCACUUUUCUUCUAGAAACGGUAUCUUUUCGUUAUCUACGCCACCAAUUAUCCCACGUUAUUUCUAGAAGCUAGAAUAAGACAGGCCUAGUAGUGACUAGUUAGUGGAGAUUAUCCGAUGCGCCGACUUCAUCCAAUGUGAAAGUAACGACAGAGAUCACUCAACGCUUUCAGGAUCACCUUCCCUAAACGCAUAAAACGCAUAAAACGACACACAGCACACAGCAGAUUCUUAACCCAUUACCUUUUUGAUAAUAUUGUAGGUAACUACAAGGGUUGCGUCUGGGAUAUGAUUUUUGGCUGUUAUUAGCAUGUCGGUGAAGGGUUUUGAUAGGACAAAAGUUUGUGCAAUGAUUAUACUGUAUAUGAAGUUCCGUGGUUAAAUUUCACCCAUUAUUUGAGAUCUAACAUGUAUAAAAACCUUGCAUCAUCAUCUCCUCCCCCUCCAAACAAGUUCUCUUCAGUAGAACAGAAUCCAUCUCUCUUUCUCUCACAGAUUAAGUACAGAUGGAAGCAUCAAGGGCUACUUGUGUUGCGCUAUGUGUUGUUUGGGUGGGCAUAGUAAUUACAUGGGCAUGGAGGGUGCUGAAUUGGGUGUGGUUGAGGCCAAAGAAACUAGAAAAAUGCUUGAGGGAGCAAGGCCUUGCAGGCAAUUCUUACAGGAUUUUGUUUGGAGACACCAAGGAUCUCUCAAAGAUGCUCGAACAAACACAAUCCAAACCCAUCAAACUCUCCACCUCCCAUGAUAUAGCGCCACGUGUCACCCCAUUUUUCCAUCAAACUCUGAACUCUUAUGGUAUGCCAAAUCUUUAUUUACAUUCACAUAUCCGUUGUUAGAAUUUAGGAGGUGUGUGAUUCUGACAUCGUUAUUGGUUUAUGUGAUGAAGUGGUUUAAGACAAUCUUUGCCUAUUUAUAGGCAAUCUUUGUCGACAUCACCAAGAAGUCCACCGACUUGGUUUCAUAUAUAAUAUUCUAUAUUGUACAAUAUUAUUUGUGUGGCUAUUGUUUAGCCAUCAUGCUCCACCGCCUUGUUCUUUUCUCCAGCCACAAGUGUGUGGCUUCAUCUAGAAUAUUCUUUUCAUAUUUUUUGUGUGUUGCCGACAUUCCAUCAUCUAGUUUGUAGUUUCUUGAGUUUUCUAGAAUUCUGUAGUUACAUCUACAAAAAUAUGCAUUGCUUUUUCAACAUCCAUGUAUAUAUGUGUGUAAUCUUCAGCUUGGAUGAGUUAAAACAUAAAUAAAAAAGGAGAUUUAUUAUUAUACCUAAAUAAUAAUAAAAAUAUUAUAUAAAAUAGACUUUAGAUACACACUUAAAAUUCAUUUACAACAUAACAAAGAGAUUUUAACUUCUUAUAAAUUACAAAACUGUCAUCAAUUUAUUAAAAUAAAUUCAACCUCAAAACCUCAUAAAAAUAACCAAAACACUGAAUAAGGCAUUAAAUCUUAGUUGGGAUGCUUAUGCCAGAGUUUCUUCGAUCAUACCUGAUCGUUAGUGGAGACACACCAGAUUGUUUUAAUUUUAAUAUUAGACCGCUUUGUUAUUGUAAUGGCCCUUUUAUAGCGAGUUUGUAUUGGCCCUUUGUGGCUAGUGGCUUUUUUAGCUGAAUUAUGAAUGCAAUCAUAGAAUUUCUCAACAAAAAAGAAAGGCAUCAAAGAAAUUUAAUAAACAAAAUUAAAUGCAAUAAGGUCAGCUGUCAUUUUUUGAGUUUGUUUAUAGAAAUUAAAUGAUAUAUAAUUUAUCUACAUUAUUAGUGCUAAGAAUGGAUAUAUAUAACUAAAUAUCUCAAAUGAAAAUUGCAGGGAAGAAUUCUUUUGUUUGGAUGGGCCCCAUACCAAGAGUGCACAUCAUGAAUCCGGAAGAUUUGAAAGAUACCUUCAACAGACAUGAUGAUUUUCAUAAGGUAGUAAAAAAUCCUAUCAUGAAGUCUCUACCACAGGGCAUUGUAGGCAUUGAAGGUGAUCAAUGGGCUAAACACAGAAAGAUUAUCAACCCAGCAUUCCAUUUAGAGAAGCUAAAGGUAUUGUAAGCUCUCACCAACAUCCCUAUAUGUUGAAAAUUUUGGUUUUUUUUUUCUAUUUUGGUUUAUUUAUUUUUCCUUGUUUGCUAUAGGGUAUGGUACCAAUAUUUUACCAAAGUUGUAGCGAGAUGAUUAACAUAUGGAAGAGCUUGGUGUCCAAAGAGAGUUCAUGUGAGUUGGAUGUGUGGCCGUAUCUUGAAAAUUUUACCAGCGAUGUGAUUUCCCGAGCUGCAUUUGGAAGUAGCUAUGAAGAGGGAAGGAAAAUAUUUCAACUACUAAGAGAGGAAGCGAAAGUUUAUACGGUGGCUGUGCGAAGUGUUUACAUUCCAGGAUGGAGGUAAAAAUGAAAGAAAAGAAUAAUCAUCUGAGACUGGGAGAGUACCCAUUGAAGUGCUGCUUUUUUGUGCAGGUUUCUACCAACCAAGCAGAACAAGAAGACGAAGGAAAUUCACAACGAAAUUAAAGGCUUACUUAAGGGCAUUAUAAAUAAAAGAGAAGAGGCUAUGAAGGCAGGGGAAGCCACUAAAGAUGACUUACUAGGUAUACUUAUGGAGUCCAACUUCAGGGAAAUUCAGGAACAUGGGAACAACAAAAAUGCUGGAAUGAGUAUUGAAGAUGUAAUUGGAGAGUGUAAGUUGUUUUACUUUGCUGGACAAGAGACCACUUCGGUGUUGCUUGUUUGGACAAUGGUUUUACUAAGCCAAAAUCAGGAUUGGCAAGCUCGUGCAAGAGAAGAGGUCUUGCAAGUCUUUGGAAGCAACAUCCCAACCUAUGAAGAGCUAAGUCACCUAAAAGUUGUAAGUGUGGAUUUGCUUCUCCAAACUUUUGAAUUUCGUUAAACAACUUUCAUCUCAUUUUGUUGGAUUAGUCUCACUUGAUGCUUUAUGAUGCCCUUAGGUGACCAUGAUUUUACUUGAAGUUCUUCGAUUAUACCCAUCAGUCGUUGCGCUUCCUCGAACCACUCACAAGAAAACACAGCUUGGAAAAUUAUCAUUACCAGCUGGAGUGGAAGUCUCCUUGCCCAUACUGCUCGUUCAUCAUGACAAAGAGUUGUGGGGUGAGGAUGCAAAUGAGUUCAAGCCAGAGAGGUUUUCAGAGGGAGUUUCAAAGGCAACAAAGAACCAAUUUACAUACUUCCCUUUCGGAGGGGGUCCAAGGAUUUGCAUUGGACAAAACUUUGCUAUGAUGGAAGCUAAAUUGGCCUUGUCAUUGAUUUUACAACACUUUACCUUCGAGCUUUCUCCACAAUAUUCUCAUGCUCCAUCCGUAACUAUAACCCUUCAACCCCAAUAUGGUGCUCAUCUUAUUUUACAUAAACGUUGAUUAGUGCUGAAUUAUAUCUAUCAUUAAUGUUAAUGAUAAAGACACAUCAAGAUAGCUAUGGUUUGAACCGUAAUUUUCUUUAUGUACUGUGUCGUUUGUCCUUAUGGGAUAAUUGGAAGAGUCAUUGCACUACCUUUGUUGUUAAUUUUUUAAUUGUUUUGGUUAAUGGCCGUAUAUGAUUUCUAAUGUCUCAAUUUCUUAAUUAUGAAAACUUAAGUAAAUGUCAAGCUGCUUAGUACAAGGUCAAAAUGCGUAUAAGGACAUUUCUGUAAUUUUGUCCAAAAAUAAUGCAUAUAUGAAAUAAAGUUCUGAAAUAAAGUUCUACAAUAAAGAUGAUUGCAGUGAGAUAUAACUCAGUUGGUUGAGUUUUUUGACAUCAAGUUUCAGUCUUACCGGAUAUGAGAAAAUAAAAAAUGCACCCACCUCAAUCUUUUAACUAUUUUUAAGGUGCAAAAUGACCAAUUUAUCCUUAAAUUGCCUAACAUACUUGACACAUAAUAUUUUUUAACAGCAAAUUGGAUAGAAUGUGAGGAAAUAGGGAUGAACCAUAGAAGCUACUAACCUGGGCUAUAGGCUAUAGCCCGGGCAAUUUUUAAUUUUUUUUUUCAGCCCAAAAUACAUAUUGCACAGCACAUCACCAAUUCAAAGUAUAUUUUUAAAAUCAAAACUCAAUUAUACCCUUUUCUAACCUAUUCUCUCUCUUCUACCGAACAACCCACUCAAGUAAAAAUAUUUUUUAUUUCCUCCUUUUGGCAUUAUGGAUGCCAAAGCUCAAACCUAGGUUGCAUUGGGCUUAUCCCCAAAAAAAAAAAAAAAAAAAAAAAAAAAACUUCUUAACACUUAUUGGGAAUGAAGUUUUUUGCUUUUUGUGUUUUUUGUUUUCAGUUGAAGUGAAUGUUUCACUCAUAGCUAGAUAUAUAUAUAUAUUAUUUAUUUAUUUUAUAAAUAAUUCAUUUAUAUUGUUAAGUUUUCUAUUUUUUUAGUAAAUUUGUACAUUAAAUAAAUUUAGCCUAUUUUAUAUUGAAAUUCUGAAUCCGUCUGUAUGGGAAAAAUUGAUUAAAAAAAUAUUUCGGAUCCUUAAUUUAAAAAAAAAAGAAAAAAAAAAGAGUAUGGGCUAAAUUUAAAAUUAAGUAUAAGUUCAUGAGCCACAUCAAUAUUUUGACCUUUUUGGAUUAUUAAAAGUGUGCAAGAAAUAUUUAAAAUUUCUUGAGGUCAAAUGGUAAUUUGGUGGUCAUGAGAUGAAAAUACGUGUGAUUACGCGUAUGUAAUAUUUUUCAAGAAAAUUUUCAGAGCUCAAAUGAAUUUUCGGUGGAAUUGUGUAGAUAUAAUAAAAGAGUACACAUGACAUCAAUUUAUUGGACAUUACUGACACGUGGAAUAAUUGGGAGCGCCAGUUAUGACAUGUGUUGUGCCAUCACAACAACAUAUAGUGAUAUGGUGAGAGGUUAUUGGACCGCCACAAAGUGAAAAAAAACUGAAAGGGUAAAGUUGGGCACGUGAGUUAUCCUUUUCGAAACUUUUCGACAAGGACACACUAAGAGCUCGAAUUAUUCUAGGAAGUGAAUGAUUUAGUUUUAAUUUGUUGUAAUUACUUACCCUUUGUAUAAUCUUAUUGUAACCUUUUAGGGUUUACAACUUUGUACAUCUUUAUAUUGGAGAAGUAUAUAUAUAUUAGAAACUUACUAUAUACUUUGUUUGGCAAAGAUUAAUAACAUUAUAUUGUAAAUUUGGCUUACCCCCUUCAAAUUGAAUUUUUCUUAACUGCAAUCAAUCAUUUUUUGUUCCUAUUAAAAUUCAUUUUUUAUAAGUAAAAACCCUUAAUUAGGAUCUACCUUAUCAAGCUCAAGAUUUGAUUUUACAGUAAUUUUCUGAUUCCCAAAAUACCCCUACGUAUUUGCAGUUGUUGUUUUCUCCAUUGAUGUUGUGCUAAAUAUACUUUGAACAUAUUUGUUGCAAUUCAAUGUCAUUAAUAUUCAAAUGGUGUAUUGUUUAAAUAGGAAAAUGGUUCUUUAAAUUGGCUUAAAUUUAGGAAUUUUUAGGGUAAGCUUUUUUAUCUUUAAAAAAAAAAAAUUAAUAUUCAGCAUCUAAAAAUGUCACAUUUAGCCUAAUGAAUUUAAGAAGAAACAUUAAUAUACCUAUCACGUUUCAACAUAAAAUAAUGUAACAAAUAAAUUAAACAAGCACACACCAUAUUCUGUAUAGGCUAGCUAUAAGGGACUGAUCACUAAAUAUUUCUAGUGGGGAAGGGGGCAAAAUUGUGAGCCUAGAUAUAUAGCUAAACCAGUAUUAGACAGACUCAAUCUCAAUGCUCUAGCUCAUGAUUGUUUCUGGGCGGCUUGCGGCGACCCAUUCCUUGAUAAUCUUUAUGCAUCAGGUCCACUAUCUCUCUUGUUGCCUUAAGAAGCCUUCUUGCUUCAUCUGUCUAUUAUUUGUACCAAUUUUUUAAUGAAUAAUAUACCUAUUUUUUUACAUAUCUUUUGUAAAUAUACAUAUUUUGUAUACCUAUAAAUAACGUACCUAUUUUUAAAAUAAAAAAUAUACCUAAUUUUAAUUUAUGAAAAAUGUGCAGAAAUUUCAAUUACACACCGUACCUAUUUUCUAACCCCAAAAAAAAAAAAAAAACCUUACUCUCUUUUGUAAAUAAUGUACUUAUUUUUAAUUUAUAAAAACAUUAACAGAAAUUUCAAUUACAAAGUAACAAAUCUUUUAAAAAAUAAUAAUAAUAAAUGACCUAUAUUAUAUACAUUUUUAUAAUUUUUUAUAGGUACAUUAUUUAUUGGAUAUGUAAUUUAGGGAUUUUUUGUUUGUUUAUUUUAGGGAUUGGCAAUGUGUAGAGGGAUGCCAAUCAAAAGAGUCUCCAAAUUUUAGCUAAAAUAACUAGAAAGAUAUUAUAGCAAACUACCUAAAAAGAAAUUUCUUUUGAAUUUGGAUUUUUUGCCAUUUGCAAGGAAAUAGCUAGUCACUCAUUUCUAUCUCCUUCUCUCUAAAUGUAGAGAGCCACCAAAUUCAAAUAGGGAGUUCUCCAAAAUGGAGAGCUAGAUAGCAAAUCAGUUGGAGCUGCAUUUUGCCUUUAUUUUAGCCAAAAUAGCUAAAGAGCAGAGUAUACCGACUCUAAUGGAGAUACUCUUAUAAAUAGGAAGAUUUAAAUUUGGUUCAAUUGUUUUAGUUGAUGGUGUAAUGCAUGUGUUGAAUUAUUAAAUCAAAUUGAGUUUUUCUCUAAAGUUGAUAACUACAUUAUCUCCUUGUUUUGGGUAAUUUUUUUUUAUAGGUACAUUAUUUAUUGGAUAUGUAAUUUAGGGAUUUUUUGGUUGUUUAUUAUAGGGAUUGGCAAUGUGUAGAGGGAUGCCAACCAAAAUAAAUGGGGUGAUUGAUAUGCUAUUAAUAGGGAGUAUUAAUUAUAAUUAAGGUAGUUAAUGACAUACUUGAAAUAAAUUAUAAAUUAAAUAUGAAGGGAAGUGGCAUAUAAUUUAAUUUAAUUAAUAAUAUUAGGACAAAUCUAUCUCACAACCUAUUUUAAAUUUGGGUUUUCAGUAAAGAAAAAGUAUGUGGGCAUAUAACUAGGAUAUAGUAGUUGUAAGGUUCUAUAUCAUAAGAACUUUGGAUUAUAUACAUGAAGAAGUUCAUGCAUUUGGAAUAAAUGCUUUAUUCAUCCAUUUGGGAUUAACUAGGUUCAUGAUUUAUUUUUUCAUUCAUGCAUUUGGAUUAAAUGCUUGUUCAUGCAUUUGGGAGUAUUUGGAUUUUAUGAUUUCGAGCAUCGUCAAGAGAGUCUCUAAAUUUUAAACAAAAAAGUUAGAAAGAUAUUAUAGCAAAUUAGCUGGAUCUGCAUUUUGCCCUUAUUUUAGCCAAAAUGGCUAAAGAGCAUAGUAUACCGACUCUGAUGGUUGAGAGAUUUGUUUGAGUUGAUGGUGUAAUGCAUGACUUGCAUUAUUAAAUGAAAUUGAGUUUUUCUCUAAAGUUGAUAACUACACUAUCUCCUUGUUUUGGGUAUUCUUAGAAUCAACAAGGCUUGAAAAUCUACACUCUUCUUGUUCUAUAUAUUCUUAGAAUCAAACAGAGCUUGGAAAUUGAUUUCAACGUGUAUCUUUUCGUCUUGCUCAAAAGUGUCGUUGCACCACACUCUCUCUCUCUCUCUCUCUCUCACACACACACACACACACACACACACACACACACACACACACACACACACACACAAAUGGAAGUAUCAGUUGUGGCCAGUGUUGCACUACGUGUUUUUUGGGUGAGCAUAGUAAUUACAUGGGCAUGGAGGGUGCUGAAUUGGGUGUGGCUGAGGCCGAAGAAGCUAGAAAGAUGUCUAAGGCAGCAAGGUUUGGCGGGCAACUCGUACAGGCUUUUGGUAGGAGACACGAAGGAAAGCUCCAUGAUGGUGAAAGAAGCGAAAUCUAAACCGAUGAACCUCUCCCAUGAUAUAACGCCACGCGUCCUUCCUUUUCUUCAUCAGUCUGUGACCACUUAUGGUAUGCCAAGUAUCUUUUGACAUUUCGUUUACCAUGGUUAAAUUAGAAAUAAUCAAUUUUUGUGUGUCUGUUUUACAUUCUUGAAGCUUUUUUAUUAUUUAUUUUAAUUUUAUUAAUGUUACACUUUUUUUAUUUUGAUAUUUGGUUGCUUCGGUGUAUUUCUUAUUUCCUUUUCAAUUGAUUAUGAACAUCAAUAUAGGUCUGCCAAAUAGGUAAGUUUUCUUCACAUUGACGUCCCUAUCAAUUUUCUUUCUCUCUUUUUUUUCUCCUCCUUUUUCAUUUGGGUAGUGCUAGGCUUACCACAUUUUUAUAUCACAUUGUGUACUACCUACCACCUCUUUAAUAAGGAUGGAGCCCACCUCUAUUAGAGAGGUGAUACACAAUAUGGUAUAAAAAUGUGGUAAGUCUAGCAUUUUCCUUUUCGUUUAUCUUCUUCUUCUUUACUUCUCUUGUUCGUCUUGCUUCUUUGUAUAGAGUUGUUUUUGGUCGAAUGGUUCUUUUUAUAGAUAGUUGUUUAUGGGGACAAGAAUUUUUCUAGGUCAUUUGUGGGGUUUAUAUUCACUACCUAUUAAAUUGGUUUGAGUGCCGAGAUACUCUACCUAACAAAGGGCACUAAUUUGUAUGAGAUGGGUCACAUGACAAUAAUCUCUUGAAGGGGAAAAAAGCUACAAAAAUUAAAUACAAUAAUCUCUUCAACAUUUUUAGUAUGAGAUGGGUCUAUAAUAAAUGACCUCUGGUUGUUCAUCAGUAAUUCUAAAAUCUCUGGAUGAUUCGUGAUCAAUGUAAAUAACUUAUUUUAUUAUUUUCGGAAAUACAUGUGUAAUUAGUUUCUUAUAAGUUACAACAUUUUUGUGAAAACAAAAAUGCAGGUAAGAAUUUUUUUAUUUGGAUUGGGCCCACACCAAGAGUGAACAUCAGUAAUCCAGCGGAUGUGAAAGAUGUAUUUACAAACUACGAAGAUUUUCAGAAGCCAGUAAUAAAUCCACUUGUCAAGUUCCUGGCAACAGGUCUGCCAAACUAUGAGGGCGAGAAAUGGGCAAAACACCGUAAAAUCAUCAACCCGGCAUUCCAUUUAGAGAAGCUAAAGGUUAUAAUAGUCUAGUAGAAAAAGACCUUGAUUUGUGAUAAGAGGUCUUAAGUUUGAACUUUCAUAACAUCUUAAUUCUGUGUGUGUGUGAGAAACUCCCCUCAUUCUCAUUUAGUUUAGACUAUCGCUUGUACUAAAAAAAAAAUUCUUUUGUAACGUAAAAUGUCUUUUCAACCGAUGCAUUAAAAAAGUUUCUACACACAUGUGAUGAUUAUUUAUCUAGGUAAUUAGAUGUGUGCUAUAUUUGCUAUGUAAUUAAUGUUAACAAACUCUGAGUUCUUGUUUGUUUGUGUUUUCCUUUAUUUCCUAUAGCGUAUGUUACCGGCAUUUCACCAAAGUUGUAGUGAGAUGAUUGAAAAAUGGGAGAGGUUGGUGUCUAAGGAGGGUUCAUGCGAGUUAGAUGUUUGGCCUUACCUCGAAAGUUUGGCAGCUGAUGUGAUUUCUCGAGCAUCAUUUGGGAGUAGCUAUCAAGAAGGAAGGAAAAUAUUUCAACUCUUGAAAGAGCAAGCAAAACUUACAAUAAGAGCUUUACAAAGUUUUUACAUUCCAGGAUGGAGGUAAAACCCUUUUAGGGCUAGCCAGUAACUAUAGAUUUUUUAACCAUUGAUGAAGUUGUCUUGGUGCAGGUUUCUACCAACUAGGAGUAACAAGAGGAUGAAGGCGAUUGACAAGGAAAUAAAAGGUUCACUGAGGGAUAUUAUUAGUACAAGAGAAGAGGCAAUUAGGAUGGGUGAAGCUGCAAAAGAUGACUUAUUGGGUAUACUAAUGGAGUCUAACUUGAAGGAAAUUCGAGAAAAUGGGAACACCAAGAACGUUGGGAUGAGCAUUGAGGAUGUGAUUGAAGAGUGCAAGCUGUUUUACUUUGCGGGGCAAGAGACCACUUCAGUGUUGCUUCUUUGGACACUAGUUUUACUCAGUCAAAAUCAGAAUUGGCAAGCUCGUGCAAGAGAUGAGGUUUUGCAAGUGUUUGGAAGCAAUAAACCAGACUUCGAUGGGCUAAGUCACCUCAAAGUUGUAAGUACUCACAUUAUAUAUCCUUUCACAGUUUUAUGUUGAAAAAUUUCUUGCCUCUUAACAAACAAACAAAGCAAAUGAAUCAAACUUUUUAUGAGUCCAAUUUAAAAGGACAAUAACAAAACAUUUUCGUAAUAGUGGAAUUGCUUGAGCUGUGAUCGAUGCCAUAUACUCACUUAGUAUACAUGUAGAUGUGGAAGGAAGGACCUGAAAUCUCUUGAAUAUCGAUAACUUCAAAUUUUGAUUCAAUUAUACCAUCACGUUAUUUGGUGAAUAAAAUUUGGUGAACAGAUAUAGUGCUCUUAAUAUAUAGCUUUACUUGGUGAGGGAAGAGGAUUAUUUUUAUAAACCUAGCCUCUAAAGGUUUGGAUGUCUUUAAUCUCAUUUUGUUGGUAUGUGCUUUGAUGUUGUAGAUGAAUUUCAUUGGGGUAAUGAGAUUUUCAUGAUAUAAAAUAUAUGACUCUAAAAUGCCUUCAGGUAACCAUGAUUUUACUUGAAGUUCUUCGAUUAUACCCGUCAGUUGUUGCGCUUCCUCGAACCACUCACAAAAAAACACAGCUUGGAAAAUUAUCACUGCCUGCUGGAGUGGAAGUCUCCUUGCCCAUACUGCUUCUUCACCAUGACAAAGAAUUGUGGGGUGAGGAUGCAAUUGAGUUCAACCCAGAGAGGUUUUCGGAAGGAGUUUCAAAGGCAUCAAAGAACCAAUUUGCAUACUUCCCUUUUGGAGGGGGUCCAAGGAUCUGCAUUGGACAAAACUUUGCUAUGUUGGAAGCUAAAUUAGCCUUUUCAUUGCUUUUACAACGCUUUACCUUCGAGCUCUCUCCAUCAUAUGCUCAUGCCCCAUCCUUAAUUAUAAGCCUUCAACCUCAAUAUGGUGCUCAUAUUAUUUUACAUAAACGUUGAUUAGUGCUGAGUUAACGUUAUUGAUAAAGCCACAUCAAAUAAGAUUGAACCAUGUAUAUUGUGGUACUAUUUAUAUUUUUUCAUAAUUUUCUUUACAAAUUGUAUUUCUCUUAUACCAUUUUAAAAAAAAUACAAAAAAACUUGAAUAAGUGAAUGUGAAGCUGCUUAGGGCCUGUUUGAUAUCCUAUCCAAGUAUGGAACUCAAAAAUUGCUAUUUUUCUUAAAAACAAGGAGUUCUCAAAUCCAUUUUUUAAGAUUCAAAAAUUUGUUUGGUUGAAUUCUUUAGAACAAUUUUUUUCUUCAUUUUUUAUAAUUAAGAUAUUUUGAUAAACAUUAUUAAAAGUAUAUUAAACAUACUAUUUUAAUAUUCAUAUUUUAAUACCAUACAUGUAUGAUGUAUGAUUGACAAGCUCAAUUGGUCUUCAAGUCAUAAAUAAUACAUUUUUAAUUAAAACAUUCUAGACUAAAUAAAUUAUAAGACUAAUGAUUUUGAAGAUAAUCCAUCCGCAUUGCUCCGGCAAUGUGAUCUCUAGCAUCACUCAUUUCAUUAGCAUUGUCCUCAUGCAAAUGGAUGUGUUCUUGAUUCACUUUAAAGCUUUCUUCAUCUACCACUUGAAGAUCAUUGGCUUGAUAUUGAUGAAAUAUGAUAAAUAUUCACUAUAUAUAACAAAGACAAAUAUAACAAGGAAUAAGAAAAAACAUGGUAAACAAAGAUAAAUAUCCUUCAGCAGACCAGCAGGAACAAAAUUUAGCUAGGAUCCCAAACAUAAUCAAUCCUCAACUGAACAAAUUUACCAACACAGACUAACAAAGGACUAAUACAGCAACCAACCACUACCUUCCUUUUUUUCCCCUAAUUAAGCAACCAGCCAGAUUAGUAUGAUCGGCUUCUCUGCUUAGCAGGAGGCAGAGCUUUGGAAUUAGAGGCCUCUUUCUAAUUAGCAUGUAACGAUAGGAUUAAUUCGCCGAAUAAUAAAGAGUUGGUGUACAAUUUGAACGAAUAAUUUAGUUGAGGGACCAAAAUGAAACUCGGGUAUAAGUUUGAGAACCAUUUGAGUAAAUAACCCUAUAUUAAAAUUAUAUUUGUUUCACAAUUCAAUAUAUCCUUUUUGGUAAUUUUAUAUUAGGAUAAAUUAGUAAUUAAAUAAAUAAUAUAUUUUAAAAAAUUUAAAUCUAUAAAAGAUAUAUAUUGAAACUAGCAAAUUAAUAUCUACAAAGUAUAAACUAAUGCAACUAUAGAAGAAUCCUUUUUAUUUAUUUUUUAUUAAAUUUAUAAAUUUUCUAUACUCCUUUUAAAUGUCAUAUACUUAAAGGUAUAGACGCCUAGCUAUACUACAGUUUUUUAUUUUAAAAAAAUAGUAUAGCAGCGCGGCUAUGUUGUUUUUGACAUGUGGAAGGUAGUGCUAGGCAUGUCCUCUUUUUAUUUUUAUUUUUUUAAAUAACUAGUAUAGACGAGCGCCUAUACUCUUAUAUAUAUAUUCACUAGCAAAUUAAUAUCUAUAAAGUACAAACUAAUACAACUAGGAGGGUUCUUUUAAAAAUAAAUAAAUAAAUUAUUAAAUAGUAUAGCCGUGGGGCUAUACCUUUUAAAUAUAAAUAGUAUAGCCGUGCGGCUAUACUACUUUUUUUACUAUAAAAAAAUAGUAUAGCCAUACGGCGAUACUUUUUAGACACAUGGUGCCUAAUCACUAGAGGGUCCUCUUUUUUCUAAAAAAUAAUAAUAAUACAGCCGCACGGCUAUACUCCAUGUUUUUAUGUGAAAAAUAGUGUCGCCGAACGGCUAUACUCAAUUUUUAAAUUUUUUUUAAAAACAGUAUAGCUGCACGGCUACACUAUUUUACACAUGGGCACCUAGGGCUGUGCGGCUGCUUUUUGUUUUGUAAAUAGUAUAGCCGCGCGGCUAUACUCGAUUUUUUUGCUAUUUUUUUUUGAAAAAAUAGCAUAGCAGGCCGGAUGUAUUGGUUUUUUUUUAAAAAUUCUCUUUAAUAAAUAAUAUAGACGAGCUAAUAUAGUCCUUUUAAUUAUCUUCCGCGUUGUGAGAGAUUUUUAAUUUUUUAAUUUAUUUUAGAAUUAAAAAAGAUAAUGGGUAGUUGUGUUCCAUAAAAAUAGGAUCAAUUAUCUGAGUUUUCUUUUAAUUAUAUAUAUUUUUUAAAUAUAAAAAAGUGAGAAUUUACCAUAUUAUCCUUAUUUAAUUAAUAAUUUCAAUUAAUGUUUGUAUUAAUCAAGAGCAUUUUCUGGUAUUUUGUAUGUUUCACUAUUCUCUGCAUUUUGCUUUCUAUAUAUAGAUAUAUAGUAUAGCCACGUGGCUAAACUCGGGAUUUUUUUUUAAAGAGAAGUGUAUAGCCUCGCAGCUUUCUUGGGGUCGUUUUGUUUUAAUUUUUUUUUUUAAUAAAUAGUAUAGCCGCACGGCUAUAAUCUUUACAUAGAUAUUAUGAAUUUUUUUUUAAAUUGUUUUUCUCUGAUUUUUGUUUAUCAAUAGUUUAGAGCAUUAUCUAUUACUAUUAGGCUAUUACCUGAGUCUCUAUUAUCCAAUUUUGAGUUUUUACUUUUCUAGAGUUAUUACCCAUAUAAAGAAUUUCGCACUUUAACGUUUAAUACUCGUUGUAUUUUUCAUGUUUAAUACACUUGGGUUUUUACAAAAUUUUCAAUAACACAUACAAAAUUCACGUAUUAUACACAUAAUUUUCGCAUAUUAGAGUUUGUUUAGCAGCACUCUAACUUUUUCACUUGACAUUGUAUUAUUCCCAUUACAAGAAAGUUUUUCUUCCACCUUCACGUGCAACUUUUCCUCAUAUACGCCUGCAGAAAAACGUCACCUCUUAUGUCACAUUCUUUUCUAGUGAAAAGAAGUCACACGAACCACUCACUCAAAGUUGAAAAUCAUAUAAAAAAAAUAUAUAUGUGUGUGUGUAUGGCACCGCAAAGACCACAAUACAUGCAUUUCAUGCGUCAGAGCUGAACUCACUUCUGUAUAAUACGUUUGCUACAGAAUUAUUGAGUAUCACCUCGAACGUACACACACAAGUCCUCACUUAGCCACAAACAACUGGCGGCAGAAAGCAGUGGCUGGUUUUGAUUGAGAAGGACAAAGAUCCUUUGUUUUUAGCCAAAAAAUCACAGGCUAAAAUUGUGGAAGGAAAUGAAUGGACUUGGGACAAGGAGUUCCUCCAGUUUCACACAUUUAACCCAUUUUCUAGCUCCUUUCCAAACAAUUCUUCUCUCUCUCUCUCUCUCUCUCUCUCUCUCUCUCUCACUCUCACACACACACACACACACACACACACACACACAAAUGGAAGUCUCAGUUGCGGCCGGUGUUGUACUACGUGUUGUUUGGGUGAGCGUAAUAAUUACAUGGGCAUGGAGGGUGCUGAACUGGGUGUGGCUGAGGCCAAAGAAGCUAGAAAGAUGUCUAAGGCAGCAAGGUUUGGCGGGCAACUCGUACAGGCUUUUGAUAGGAGACACGAAGGAAAGCUCCAUGAUGCUGAAAGAAGCAAAAUCUAAACCCAUGGACCUCUUCCAUGAUUUAGCGCCACGUGUCCUCCCCUUUGUUCAUCAAUCCAUGAACACUUAUGGUAUGCCAACUACAUCUUUUGACAUUUCAAUUUACUACUAGGGAUGGCAGUCUUCCCAAUUGGUAAGGGUCUUUGCAGGGCUUCGAUCUUAUGGGUUAGGUAUGAAGGAUGAAAAACAAGUAUGGUGACGAGUAUGAGGAAUUUUUCGGAUAUGGUGUUCUACCUCUAUAAUGAUGAUGUCUUGGACAUGUAUUAAUUAUUUGUUAAACGGUCUUAGAUUUUAGUUAAUAAAAAUUGAAUUGACAGAUAUGUUGUUCUCAUAGUGCUUUUUUCUCAUUCAACAAAGUAUUUUUUUUUAUUGGUUUUUUUUAAUUAUUAUUGGUUUUUUUUUUUUCCAUUAUGGGGUGAGUCACGAAUCCAUUCCCCAACAAAGGCAGGGAUGGAGAAAAAAUCCUUAACGGAAAUGAGGAUGGAAAUGGUAUACCUACCCCUGAUUUGACCCAUUGUCAUCCCUAUUUACUACCUUCAUAUGUACGACUAUAGUUAUCCUUCCAAAAAAUUCUAAUGUGUUAUCUCAUAUAUAUUGUUGGAUAAUUAAUUGAAACUGUUAAUUUUUAUUUAAAUGUGUGGAUCUAAUUUACAAUCUAGCUUUCUAGAUCAACAAUCACAUCGGUAUCCUUUCGUUCAGUAACCUUUAGAAACCAUCGAAAACCUCUGAUUCUUGAUAAAUGUAGGAUUUAUUUAUUUAUCUUUGUGGUUUAUCUUGGUAAUGGAUAUAUACGGUACCUGUAAAUAAUUAACUUCAUAUAUUUGCCAAUAUGUGUAAAUAGUUUCUUAUAAGUUUUAUUGUGAUAAAACAAAAAAUAAUGCAGGUAAGAAUUCUUUUAUUUGGAUUGGCCCCACACCAAGAGUGAACAUCAGUAAUCCAGAGGAUAUGAAAGAUAUAUUUGCAAAAUAUGAAGAUUUUCAGAAGCCAGUAAAAAAUCCACUGGUGAAGUUGCUAGCAACAGGUCUUGCAAACUAUGAGGGCGAGAAAUGGGCAAAACACCGUAAAAUCAUCAACCCGGCAUUCCAUUCAGAGAAGCUAAAGGUGUACUAUAUAUAUACUCUUGUCAAUAUUCAUUCAAAUAUCUGGAGAUUUAACAGUUAAUUUACUGAGUAAUUUCCAAAUACUCGUAUUGUACUGCGUAUGUUACCAGCAUUUUCCUUUGUUUUCUACAGCGUAUGUUACCAGCAUUUCACCAAAGUUGUAGUGAGUUGAUUGAAGAAUGGGAGAGCUUGGCGUCUAAGGAGGGUUCAUGCGAGUUAGAUGUUUGGCCUUAUCUUCAAAAUUUGACAGCUGAUGUGAUUUCUCGAACAGCAUUUGGGAGUAGCUAUGAAGAAGGAAGGAAAAUAUUUCAACUCUUGAAAGACCAAGCACAACUUACAAUAAAAGCUAUACAAAGUGUUUACAUUCCAGGAUGGAGGUAAAUAAAUAAAUAAUACAAAAAACCCUUUUGCGAUUAGACAGUAACUAUAGUUAGAUCAAUUAUUUUUACCAUUGAGGAAGUUGUUUGUUUGGUGCAGGUUUCUACCUACUAGGAUGAACAAGAGGAUGAAAGAGAUUGACAAGGAAAUAAAAGGUUCACUAAUGGGCAUUAUAAAUAAAAGAGAAGAGGCAAUUAGGGUGCGUGAAGCGACUAGAGAUGACCUACUGGGGAUACUUAUGGAUUCCAACUUGAAGGAAAUUCGAGAAAAUGGGAACACCAAGAACGUUGGGAUGAGCAUUGAGGAUGUGAUUGAAGAGUGCAAGCUGUUUUACUUUGCGGGUCAAGAGACCACUUCAGUGUUGCUUGUUUGGACACUGGUUUUGCUCAGUCAAAAUCAGGAUUGGCAAGCUCGUGCAAGAGAUGAGGUUUUGCAAGUGUUUGGAAGCAAUAAACCAGACUUUGAUGGGCUAAGUCACCUCAAAGUUGUAAGUAUUUACAAUAUAUAUAUCACUUCACACUUUUACUUUAAAAGAUUUCCUUGCAUAACAAGAAAGAAACAAAGAAAAGUAAUCAAAUAUAUUUUUAUGUUUCUCAUAUAAAAAAUAGGAAUAAAAACAUUUUCGUAAUAGUUAAUAAGCUUUCCACGUGGUACCUCAUUUGCCUAACAAUUGUACUAUCAUUUUUAGGGCCUGAAUAAGCGAAAAUUUUGAUUCAACUACUGUCACGUUAUCUAGUGAAUAAAAUUUGGUGAACACAUUUGGGGCUCCUAAUAGUAUUUUUCUUUUCUUGUUCUCUCUACUUUUGGUGAGAGAAGAGAAAAUUAACCUUUUCAUUAGCUUUUUUAGACCUAGCUAGCCUGUACAAUUUUGGAUGCCUUCAUAUCACUUGAUAUAAAAUAUGACUGUAUAAUGCCCCCAGGUAACCAUGAUUUUACUUGAAGUUCUUCGAUUAUACCCAGCAGUUGUUG